CAACUCGACUACAUGAAGCUGGAAUCGCUAGUAAUCGCAGAUCAGAAUGCUGCGGUGAAUACGUUCCCGGGUCUUGUACACACCGCCCGUCACACCAUGGGAGUUGGAAAUGCCCGAAGUCAGUGACCCAACCGUGGAGAAACUCGUUUCUCCGGAGGGAGCUGCCGAAGGCAGGUCUGAUAACUGGGGUGAAGUCGUAACAAGGUACC
rnacentral:rRNA from 1 species